rnacentral:rRNA from 1 species
AUUGAACGCUGGCGGCAGGCCUAACACAUGCAAGUCGAGCGGAUGAAGGGAGCUUGCUCCUGGAUUCAGCGGCGGACGGGUGAGUAAUGCCUAGGAAUCUGCCUGGUAGUGGGGGAUAACGUCCGGAAACGGGCGCUAAUACCGCAUACGUCCUGAGGGAGAAAGUGGGGGAUCUUCGGACCUCACGCUAUUAGAUGAGCCUAGGUCGGAUUAGCUAGUUGGUGGGGUAAAGGCCUACCAAGGCGACGAUCCGUAACUGGUCUGAGAGGAUGAUCAGUCACACUGGAACUGAGACACGGUCCAGACUCCUACGGGAGGCAGCAGUGGGGAAUAUUGGACAAUGGGCGAAAGCCUGAUCCAGCCAUGCCGCGUGUGUGAAGAAGGUCUUCGGAUUGUAAAGCACUUUAAGUUGGGAGGAAGGGCAGUAAGUUAAUACCUUGCUGUUUUGACGUUACUAACAGAAUAAGCACCGGCUAACUUCGUG